rnacentral:rRNA from 1 species
AAACCCAGAUAUUUAACACACAAAAAUAUCCGCCAGAGAACUACGAGCAUAACGCUUAAAACUCUAAGGACUUGGCGGUGCCUUAAACCCCCCUAGAGGAGCCUGUUCUAUAAUCGAUAAUCCACGAUCCACCUCACCAUCUCUUGCCAGUACCGCCUAUAUACCGCCGUCACUAGCCUACCCUAUGAAGGAUAUAAAAGUAAGCAAAACAGCCAACAAUAGCUAAUAAGUCAGGUCAAGGUGUAGCUAACUGAGAUGGAAGAAAUGGGCUACAUUUUCUAAACUAGAAAUUAUCUCACGGAAAGAACCAUGAAACAAGUUCUACAAGCAGGAUUUAGCAGUAAACAAGGAUUAGAAUGCCCAAUUUAAGCCGGUCCUAAGGCACGCACACACCGCCCGUCACCCUCCUCAAAUCAACAUCAUCUAUAAAUAAAACCACAACAAACAAACAGAUGAGGCAAGUCGUAACAAGGUAAGUAUACCGGAAGGUGUACUUGGAACAUU